rnacentral:misc_RNA from 1 species
CACGAUGACACGGCCAUUUGCGAAACCAACCACAACCCUUCGCAUUUCAAAGAGUUAGGUGUCCAAGUCUCGCAAAUGGCCGUGUCAUCGUGUCCGUGUCCCAACUACUCCGCCGCAGCCGCCGCUUUCUCUCCUUCCUUCGGGUGCCGCUCUGAUCCGUCCGGCACGGACCAGCCGAGUCACGGCCGGUUUUCUUGCCGAGUCAAUUCGGUUCGUCAUGGAACGGCGUCAUUUCUCGGCGGCGGAAUGCAAUCUCUGAUCUUGAAGUUCCCUCCCAACUUCGUGCGCCAGCUCAGCACCAAGGGCCGCCGGAAUUGCAGCAACAUCGGCGUCGCGCAAGUCGUUGCGGCUUCGUGGUCCAACAAUUCCGCCACUGGUAUUCCCUCAGCGGCGGCUAAUGCAACCGCCGCCGCCGCCGCCACCAUCCCCGCUGCCGAGCCGGUCGAGUUGAUUGACGGCGAUGAAGUGGCGGUGGUUGAGGGGCCUGAAGAGAAUGGACUUGUACAGUUGGAGGAUUUAACUAACGAUUUGACAUACUCAUCGUUUUUGAGCUCCGAUGGGAGCCUCGCAAUUCAUGCUGGUGAAAGAUUAGGUCGCGGUAUAGUUACAGAUGCAAUUACGACCCCGGUGGUUAAUACUUCUGCUUACUUCUUUAAGAAAACUUCUGAGCUUAUUGAUUUCAAGGAGAAACGUCGAGCUAGUUUUGAAUAUGGUCGCUAUGGAAAUCCAACAACAGUGGUUGCUGAAGAGAAGAUAAGUGCGCUUGAGGGGGCUGAAUCAACUUUGAUUAUGGCAUCUGGGAUGUGUGCUAGUACAGUCAUGCUGAUGGCAUUGGUUCCAGCUGGUGGGCAUCUUGUGACAACCACAGAUUGCUAUAGAAAGACAAGGAUAUUCAUAGAGACCAUUCUUCCUAAAAUGGGGAUCACUGUAUUGGUUCCUCUCCUUUUAUUCUUUCACUUGCUAAUGCUUGCGUCCUCUGAUUGCAGACAUGUUCUUUUUUGUCUUUGAUUCCUGUGCAAUGGAAAUGAUUGUGUUAGUUGCCUUUAUUUUUUUGAAGAAGUUGUGUGAAUCCUGAAUGUUUUGAUCAAAUAACUAUAGUAUUUUUAAUGAUGUCUAGCAUUGGUUUUGACUUGCUAAGGGUGAAGAGAUACAUUUAGUAGCUUUUUCCCUGUCUUUUUCUGUUAUUUUUCGAGUAAUGUUUUUCUUAUUUUCUUCUGAAUAACGUCUAUAAUGGGGAGGAAAAAAAGGAAAUAUGCUCAAAUGUUGAAAUUUUUGUUACUGCAUUUGUGGCUCUAUCUUAAGCAGUUAAGCUAUUAAUAUGUAGAUGCAAUGAUUCAUCUUCUAUGCAUUUCAAGUAAAUUUCUUGCCUUAUUCUUAAAAUCUGGAAUCAAAAUCUGUGUGCUCUUGGCAGAGCACCUUUCUUCUCUUAAUAUUUGGCAUUAUGGAUUUAUUUUAAAUUCCUGUUUACGAUUUUGAUCAUUAUUGAUUAUGCAGGCCACUGUGAUUGACCCUGCAGAUAUGGAAGCUCUUGAAUCUGCACUUGAAAAGAACAAUGUCAGUAGUUUAGUACGCUUCUAAAAGUUAAUUACACAUUUUCCUGCAUUGACUGAUUGUAAUUCCAUGCAGGUUUCUCUUUUCUUUACUGAGUCACCUACCAAUCCAUUAUUCAGAUGUGUUGACAUUGAGUUGGUGUCAGAGCUCUGCCACAGAAACGGAGCAUUAGUUUGCAUAGAUGGUACCUUUGCAACCCCUCUUAAUCAGAAGGCCCUCACUCUUGGAGCUGAUCUUAUUCUGCACUCUGCAACAAAGUUCAUUGGUGGCCAUAAUGAUGUGCUUGCAGGAUGCAUAAGUGGUUCCACGAAGUUAGUUUCAGAAAUUCGUAAUUUGCAUCAUAUUUUGGGUGGUACUCUCAACCCGAAUGCUGCUUAUCUGAUCAUCCGAGGCAUGAAGACAUUACAUCUUCGUGUACAGCAACAGAAUUCAACAGCACUGAGGAUGGCCGAACUUUUAGAGGCUCAUCCUAAGGUGUGUAAUAUUCUGUAAAUUUUCAUUUGAUGAAGAAUUUAUUCCAGCAAUAUGAUUAUGCCUAAUUGUGGCAUGUGAAGCUACUCAACUUGGCAUUUGUUGUUUCCAAUGAGUAUGAGGAUUAUCAAUGUUAAAACUGUUAAAAAUGAUAGCAAUGAAGUGCAUAUUUUCCUUAAUUUUCUGCUUUUCUUAAGUAAUGAUCAAUUUUUUAGAUUAUACGAGCUUGAUUGCACCUUCAGAGAUUGUGUAAUUAUACUUUUGAGCAUAGUGAAUCAUACAUGUGAGUUCAAAACGGUGAAAAAGUUGUGAGAGCAGACUUAAAGAUUCUUACUACAAAUUCUGUCGCCUUUGUCGUGACAUUGAACAUUAGUACUUCUAUGAUGGUAUUGUAAUUGGUAAUUUUUUAGUAUUAAGAAGAACCAUUAGCAACUCAUAGUCACUUUAUGAACAGAGCCAUAGUUACCUUAAUCUAAAAUUUUCACCCUCAAGAUUUAGAACAAUGAAUCUCUCUCUUUUGCGUUAAGUUUACCUUUGAAUCAUAAGACUUGCUCUAUCAAGUUGCUAAUAUAAAUUUUGAAGAAUAUUGUUCAUCUUUGUAUUAAUGCAGACUGCUUGCUUUCUGCAACAGUGUGCUAGAUUACCAUUCUCAUAUUCCACGAUUAUUUGCAGCGUGGAAUUUGAAAAUAUGCAGACCACUACUUCGUUUUGGAUAAAUCAUAUAUUUGUUUUCUUUUUGUGAAAUUAAGCUAUUCUAUCUAUAAAAUGAGAAUUUUGUAAUGAUAUUGGCAGGUGAAGUGUGUUUAUUAUCUAGGCUUGCCUAGUCAUCCCGAACAUCACAUUGCCAAACGGCAAAUGACCGGCUUUGGUGGUGUGGUUAGUUUUGAGAUUGAUGGAGACUUGAUGACCACCGUAAAAUUUGUGGACUCAUUGAAAAUCCCAUAUAUUGCCCCAUCUUUUGGUGGCUGUGAAAGCAUUGUGGAUCAGCCAGCUAUAAUGUCUUACUGGGAUCUUGCCCAAUCGGAGAGGGAAAAGUAUGGGAUUAAAGAUAACUUGGUUCGGUUUAGCUUUGGAGUUGAAGACUUUGAUGAUUUGAAGGCUGAUAUACUUCAAGCCCUGGAGACCAUAUAAGGUGGUGCAUAGGGACAACUUGGUGCAGUUCAGCUUCAAAGUUGAUGUUUUGGAGAUCUGAAGGAUGAAUACUCUAUGCUUGGAGACUAUAUGAGGCGCAUCAUCUAUCCACUUCUUGUUUUUUAUUUUAUUUUUUUUUUUGGGGUCAAUUUUGGUUAUCUGGUGGUUCAAUUGACGUUUAAUCACCAAAAUUUCUGUUUCAGUUUGGUGGACAGAUCAUUACUUUAACUAGUAAUGAUUGAUGAACAACAUAGAACCUUGUUUGUUUUCAAUGUUUUCUUUAGGCUUUGUGAUUUUUCUCUUCUAAGUUCUGAAAGAUUGGAGGUUUUGAAGAGAGAUCGAUAUGGGAAAUUGACAAGGACUGGAUGAAUCUUUAACAGUGAUUAACUUUUGAACUAAUUUGGGUUGGCAAGGGAUAGAAUUGGUAGAAGCCUUGCUCAUAAUUGUUUGGAUUUUAUGGCUGGGCCACCUUGGAUUUGCUUGUGGUGUGUUUAUAAUCAUUCAAAAAGAGUUGAAAGUUGUGAAGUGAGAGAGCUCGUUUAUUUGAUGCUAAGAAGCACUGGGAGAAUGGGUAAACUGUUUGUUGUAAAUAGGAAGAGAAAAAGAGUUCUUGCCGAAAAAAAUAUAACGUUUAAAGUUCUAAACCAUCUGCAUAUAAUCU